UACGUAGGGGGCUAGCGUUGUCCGGAAUCAUUGGGCGUAAAGCGCGCGUAGGCGGCCAGAUAAGUCCGGUGUGAAAGCCACAGGCUCAACCUGUGAAUGCCGCUGGAAACUGUCUGGCUAGAGUCCGGGAGGGGCGAGUGGAAUUCCUGGUGUAGCGGUGAAAUGCGUAGAUAUCAGGAGGAACACCGGUGGCGAAGGCGGCUACCUGGACAGAAACUGACGCUGAGGCGCGAAAGCUAGGGGAGCAAACAGG
rnacentral:rRNA from 1 species